ACCAACAGCCAUAUCACCCUGCAACUCACAACUGGCAACCCACUGAAACUAAGCAGGUGUGAGCCUAGUUACUGUAGUACCUGGAUGGGAGACCUCCUGGGAAAAACUUGGGAAGGUUGCUGCUGGAA
rnacentral:rRNA from 1 species